rnacentral:tRNA from 1 species
GAGAGAUGGCUGAGUGGUUGAUAGCCCCGRUCUUGUCAACUGGUAUAGUUCUUAUCUGCGAACUAUAAAAGGUCAUCCCUUUCUAAA